GCCCGGGUGGCUCAGUGGGUUAAGCGUCCGACUUCGGCUCAGGUCAUGAUCUUGUGGUUUGUGGGUUCAAGCCCCGCGUCGGGCU
rnacentral:tRNA from 1 species